rnacentral:lncRNA from 1 species
AUGGGAGAAGGAGGCUCACGGGGUACGCCGGUGUCUGGUCCAGAGCCCCUCAACCUCCAGCCCAACCAGAUAGGAGGACCCCCGGUGCUGGAUAGUUGGACACCUAGCCUACCUGCAGUGCUGGGCCCAACUCAAGGGUGUAAACUGGAAUGUAGAGGCGGCAAUAGGGAGCCGCAGAUGGUCCGGGAGCAGGGGAGUGACGCAGUGCGGUGCCCACACCGCCUGAUUGGGUGCAAGAGACACCAGCCCAAUCCCACGAUAGCUGGGCGGUCCCGGCGGACCUCUAGGGAAGGAGGGGGUGGGCGCAAGUGGCAGCCCUCCUGCCCAUGUCAGAGCCAACGCGACCGCUCCAGGCGGGCUCCGUCCAUACCCGGGCGUUCUCGGGGGAGAGGCAGACGGCCUGCGGGAGGCACCGGGCUCUGGGAUUUGGGGAGGCUGUGGGAGAACGGUUCACUCGCCUUCCGGGGCGGACAGCGAGCUAGGCGACCCCCAAGAGAGCCCCGGCCGGCACGCGCGGAUCCCAGAAGCUCGGGCGGGGCGCCCUUCGGAGGAAUGUUUCCAGGGCUCGGGCAGCGCCGCCGCCGAAGCCUUUCCACUCUCUCCCCGCCCGGCUCGCCGCCCGCUCUCGCGCCCCCUCCAGGGCUCCCCAUCUUCCCCCACCCGAACCCCACAUCGCUGCCCUCCGGGCCGGCUGCGCCCAGGCACUUGGUGCAGAGUAGCCUCUCCACGGGCCCCGCCUCCGCCGGGAAGCCGCGCGCGGUUGCCAGGAACGCGGCAGGCGAUCGAAGCUGGACGGCGGCCCGGGCAUCUAGGCACUGGCGGCUUCGGCCCUCCUGGGCGGCCCCGGCCCGGCCCUCUCCCCACCCGCGCCCUCCGCGGGGCCGAGCUUCCCACCGCGCCCCUGCCCUCCGAUUCCUGUCUCUUCCGCUGCGGCGGAUUCUUUCCCUUCUGUGUUCCCGCUCCUCCCGGAUCACCUUCUACUCGCCCCCUUUCCUUCUGCAGCAGAGAGUACAAGAAAAGGGGUUCAUCCACCCCACUCUUCGCCAGCCCGCUGUGGGGUGGUUGGGCUCCCCAUGUCCCCCUUGGUAA